AUCUUCAGUCGCUACACCGUUGGGGAUCAGCUGGGGAAAGGUGGUUUUGGUGUGGUGUACGAAGGCAGACGUUUGAAUGAUGGUCUUAAAGUGGCUUUGAAGUAUGUAAUGAAGACCCAGCACACGGAAUGUAUAGUCAUUCCUGAUCAUCCAAAACCUCUUCCAAAAGAGAUCGCCCUCACCAUCCUGGCAAACAAAGGUCCCAGCGUGCCAGAAAUUAUCAGGCUGCUGGACUGGACGGACCACCCUGACCACUCGUCAUGGUCCUCGA